UUUUUUUGAGGUUGUUUUUGAGGUUUUUCUUUGAAAGACUACUUUGAGGAAGAAGCCAGCUUGAGUUUGUUUUUUUUCUCUCUGAUCCCUGCUGACUGACCAAGGACUUCAAGCUGUUUACACGUCUGCAAACACGCGUUUCCAUCUCCGUCCCCACUGCCACUCACUCUGCACCUGAGCCGCCUCCCACCACAGACACUGUCCAAAGAAACAUGGGUGAUCGGCUGCAGAAGGCGACUUCCAACCGCCCUGCAUUCUGGGAUUUUUCCACGACCUCCGCACAGGAAUCAUCCCCACUCCCAGAGACCCUCCCUACCUUCACAGACCUCACUCUCGGUCCACCAACUGCUAAAGGUCAACCAUCAACUUAUUGAAUGCUAGUUACUCAAACUGUGUCUGCUUGUAAGAGAAGCACCCCGUCCCAAAAAGAUGAAAAUGAAUCACGCCGAGACAGAAAGCCCAACGCGCUCCCCCAUCUUCCUCCCACUACAGGAGCGCACACCCUCUAAUGAUCCCCUGGGAUUCUGGGGCAAAGAGAGGAUGGGGGUUCACUUUGCAGAGAACAGUUAUUUAUCCAAGUUUCUCCCUGAGACAUCUAAACAUCUUCUCAUUUUACUUAUUUGUUUGUUGUGUGCGUUUUUGCCCACGUUGCUGUGGCACACACUUAUGGAGACAGGGGACAUCUUGAGGGAGUCAGUUGUCCUCUUCCACCAUGUGGCAGCCUUGGCGGCAGUUGUCUUUAUACACCAAGCCGUAUCCCCAGUUGUCCUUGAGACAUUUAAUUAUAGAGUUAGAUGGGACUUCUUUGGGGGCAGAAAUGUCCUCUUGUUUUGUGAUAGAGGAAACAACUACAUGGAAAGACAGUGAUUUUUUUCCAAUGUCCCCAUAGAUUCUCUCCUUCAUCUAAGGGACAGUCAUGUUCACCUUCAUCCUGAAUUUCCUGAUCACCUCUGCAGGACCAUGUCAUCAGGAAAGUUCCCACAGCUGAGGAGACAAAAGAGAGAGAGAGAGAGAAGUGAAAUUCACCAGCCACUCUACCUCCAAGCAAUGUUGAGUCAGGAUGGGGAGCCUCAGAAGUGGCAUGGGUGUCCCUGAUGAACAAUCCUCAGAGGUUAUCUGGAGUGACCCUGAGGCCAUCUACACUCAGAGAAGCUGAGCCACAGACAGGAAGCCUGACUCUGGGGUCACCGCCCACGAGAAGCCAGAAUCCUCACCGCAAGCCCCUAUCAGGUGCUACUAUGGCCAGGGUCCUUAAAAGACCUUGAUGACCACUGCUCUGUCACCCUCCUGUUUCAGAGGAGAGAACAGAGAUUCCCCGGGCUGAAAGGGCAAUGAGGCGAAGGUGGACUUCGGAGGCCAGGGAAGAUGCUUCACACAGACCUUUGCACUCUGCCUCUCCUGUGUCUGUUUCAGUGGCUUCUAGUUCUCCCUCUCCAUCUUCCCUCAGUGUCAAGAGUCACUUACACAUCAGUUUCAUCCUGUCCCUCAGGAAAUGGUCUUGUGAACUUGAAAAAAACAAAACCCACAUGGCCUAAAAGCACUCAACCAAGUUAAUUUCUUGUACUGUCCCUUCUGUUCCAUGCCAGUGUCUCUGUCCAGGGCUAGGGUCAGUUUGGUCAGAGUCAACAUAUGCUCCUGGAGCCGUGGUUUAGACUGAGAGCAGAGGGUCACCCAGGGCAGCCUCCCCAAAGCCACCUGCAGCAAAUGCUGUGCGAAUGUGUGCCAGGCCGCUUUGUCACGCACCGUGCAGGAAGACUGGUAGGCAAUCAGUUUCACUGCAGGCGCACAGUCACGAGUCUUGAUCCAGCUGCUGUCGGUCUAGAGUUAUAGCUGGGAUUGUGCAUAAGUCAAAACUUGUGUUUGUGUCCUUCAGUCUUUGUCCCGAGGGCCUUGAAAUUUCAUCAGGAAGCCAGUGCUGUCACCCUCUGCACAUGCUGAACAGCAUAGGAGACUCUAACCUUGAUGGAGCCAAAGCAGCGACAAACCCUCUUCAUUAUCAUGGGAGUGCGACAGGUGACAGCCACACUUGUCUUUCUUGGAGCAGUUACCGUGGUUACUACUGGCAACACACCAGGACCUUCGCCACAACUGUCUUGUUCAACCUGUAAAACACCAGUUCAGUCAGCAGCACUAUUAGGGGUGGAGGUGGAAUUUGAAGCCAUCCCACCCCCCAGCCCCACACCCACUCCAAAGCCACAAGCUUUUUACUCUUGUCACCCACAGUUCAGCCUUCUGCCCAACUCUAACCCUGUGUCCAUGAUUUCUCAAAACAUGACGCUACCUUUUAAACUGUUUCUUCUCGUGUUCUGGUCACCAGGUUUUGGGCCUAGGGCAGUGGUUCUCAAAUUCUGUUGCCUCCUCCCAUAUAAUAGAGAUGAAUGACAGAUAAAGUAGACCUUCUCGUGAUGUGUGCCCUCCCCCCCCCAAGCUGGAAGUGAGAAGGGCAGUGAUUCUGUCCCAACACCUUGAGUUGGGUAGAAAGGGAUUGAGGCAUUGCCUGUGGCUCUCCUGCCACAAGCAUAAGCUCUUUGUGCAGCUAAUCUUGCUUUCCUGAGCCCACCUUGAAUGCUAGAGACGAAUCCCCCUCAAAAGAUCUGCUGGCCAGCACUUCCUAACAGAUCAAGGAGGACUUCCCAAUUUCCUUGGGACUCUUCCCAUGUCCUAACCCAGCCAUUUUCCCGGGAGGAGACUUUAGGUACCAUGAACUCCAAAGCCCUGCCCCACCCUGUGGUGGUGUCUGGGAACUGCAGCCACCAUGUUACUGAGACCAAGUUGGGCAAGUCCUCUCUAAGAUUUGAAUCCAGGCCCUACUUCCAUUCUCAGAAUAGAAUCCAUGUUAAACUGUAAAGGUUAGAGGUAGCCAUCACCCUAGUGCUACUACAACUCCCUCUCCUGCUGCUGCAGCUACAGAAGUCUUACUGUGUGCUUGGCUUGUAGCAUCUGCGUUGCUCUAUCCCACUUAAUUCUCAACACCUAAAAGUCGGAAACAUUUGUUUUACAGACAGGAUAAUGAGGACUCUGAGAACCCCAUGCAUUGUCAGAGCUCCCACUGCUUGUAAGGAGCAGACUAGGAGAUGAUUUCAAAGUGACAGUGACUUUGAGUCAUGGAGUUAGCUUCUCCAUUUAUCUAGGCCAUCAAUUAAAUUAAUUUUAAUGGAGGCCUCUACUUGCUCAUCUAAGUUCUUCUGAGAAUUAAAUGAGUCCUGUAAAGCAAAUGGCAGGAAGGCUGCACACAGUAGACUCAUACUUAUUCCCAUAGAGCCUGUCCCACUGUUUUUUCUUCUGUGGUGCUUGUGUUUGUACAUGUUUCUGAGUGUGCAUAAGUGUGGAGGCCAGGGGUCGGCGUCAAUGUCUCCCUCCAUCACUUGUUCUUUUGAGACAGACUCUCUCACUGAACCUGGAGCUCACAGGCAAGUCCCUGGGAUUCUUCUGGUUCUACUUCCCCAGUCAUGGGGUUGCCGGUGUGCACCUCCCAGUUUUCGCUUUGGGUUCUGGGCAUUAAGCUCGGGUUCUCAUGCAGGCAUAGCAAGCCCUUCACUGACUGAGCCAUCUCCCCAGCCUCAAACUUCCAGGCAGCGUGGCUUACCAACCCCCACUCCUCUGUAGGGACGGACCUCUUUUCACUCAUGCCUCAUGCGCUACUUGCUAACCAUUUACUCAUUCAUUCACCUAUUCAAAUAAAGAUUUGUUUACUUUA